GAGGGUACAGCUCAGUGGUAGAGUGCAUGCCUAGCAUACAUGAGGUCCCGGGUUCAAUCCCCAGUACUUCCA
rnacentral:tRNA from 1 species